rnacentral:SRP_RNA from 1 species
GCCGGGCGAGGUGGCGGGAGCCUGUAGUCCCAGCUACUUGGGAGGCUGAGGCAGGAGAAUGGCGUGAACCCGGGAGGCGGAGCUUGCAGUGAGCUGAGAUCGUGCCACUGCACUCCAGCCUGGGCGACAGAGCAAGACUCCUCCAAAAAAAAAAAAAAAAAAAAGUUGUCCUAGGCUGGAGUGCUGUGGCACGAUCUUGGCUCACUGCAAGCUCCACCUCCCGGGUUCAAACGAUUCUCCUACCUCAG